rnacentral:rRNA from 1 species
AGCGAACGCUAGCGGCAGGCUUAACACAUGCAAGUCGAGCGCCAGGUUUCGGCCUGGAGCGGCGAACGGGUGAGUAACACGUAGGUCACGUACCCUAUGGUGGGGAAUACCCCGGGGAAACUCGGAUCAAUGCCCCAUAUGUCCGAAAGGAUGAAAGCGCUUCGGCGCGCCAGAGGAUCGGCCUGCGGCCCAUUACUUAAUCCUAGUUGGUGAGGUAACGGCUCACGAAGGGUACGAUGGGUAGCUGGUCUGAGAGGACGAUCAGCCACACUGGAACUGAGACACGGUCCAGACUCCUACGGGAGGCAGCAGUGGGGAAUAUUGGACAAUGGGCGAAAGCCUGAUCCAGCCAUGCCGCGUGAGUGAUGAAGGCCUUCGGGUUGUAAAGCUCUGUCGUGGGGGAAGAAGUUCUGACGGUACCCCACAAGAAAGCACCGGCUAACUCCGUGCCAGCAGCCGCGGUAAGAC